rnacentral:rRNA from 1 species
AGAGUUUGAUCCUGGCUCAGGAUGAACGCUAGCGACAGGCUUAACACAUGCAAGUCGAGGGGCAGCACGGGUAGCAAUACCGGGUGGCGACCGGCGCACGGGUGAGUAACGCGUAUGCAACUUGCCUAUCAGAGGGGGAUAACCCGGCGAAAGUCGGACUAAUACCGCAUGAAGCAGGGAUCCCGCAUGGGAAUAUUUGCUAAAGAUUCAUCGCUGAUAGAUAGGCAUGCGUUCCAUUAGGCAGUUGGCGGGGUAACGGCCCACCAAACCGACGAUGGAUAGGGGUUCUGAGAGGAAGGUCCCCCACAUUGGUACUGAGACACGGACCAAACUCCUACGGGAGGCAGCAGUGAGGAAUAUUGGUCAAUGGCCGAGAGGCUGAACCAGCCAAGUCGCGUGAGGGAUGAAGGUUCUAUGGAUCGUAAACCUCUUUUAUAAGGGAAUAAAGUGCGGGACGUGUCCCGUUUUGUAUGUACCUUAUGAAUAAGGAUCGGCUAACUCCGUGCCUGCAGCCGCGGUAAUACGGAGGAUCCGAGCGUUAUCCGGAUUUAUUGGGUUUAAAGGGUGCGUAGGCGGCCUUUUAAGUCAGCGGUGAAAGUCUGUGGCUCAACCAUAGAAUUGCCGUUGAAACUGGGGGGCUUGAGUAUGUUUGAGGCAGGCGGAAUGCGUGGUGUAGCGGUGAAAUGCAUAGAUAUCACGCAGAACCCCGAUUGCGAAGGCAGCCUGCCAAGCCAUUACUGACGCUGAUGCACGAAAGCGUGGGGAUCAAACAGGAUUAGAUACCCUGGUAGUCCACGCAGUAAACGAUGAUCACUAGCUGUUUGCGAUACACUGUAAGCGGCACAGCGAAAGCGUUAAGUGAUCCACCUGGGGAGUACGCCGGCAACGGUGAAACUCAAAGGAAUUGACGGGGGCCCGCACAAGCGGAGGAACAUGUGGUUUAAUUCGAUGAUACGCGAGGAACCUUACCCGGGUUUGAACGCAUUCGGACCGAGGUGGAAACACCUUUUCUAGCAAUAGCCGUUUGCGAGGUGCUGCAUGGUUGUCGUCAGCUCGUGCCGUGAGGUGUCGGCUUAAGUGCCAUAACGAGCGCAACCCUUGCCACUAGUUACUAACAGGUAAAGCUGAGGACUCUGGUGGGACUGCCAGCGUAAGCUGCGAGGAAGGCGGGGAUGACGUCAAAUCAGCACGGCCCUUACAUCCGGGGCGACACACGUGUUACAAUGGCGUGGACAAAGGGAGGCCACCUGGCGACAGGGAGCGAAUCCCCAAACCACGUCUCAGUUCGGAUCGGAGUCUGCAACCCGACUCCGUGAAGCUGGAUUCGCUAGUAAUCGCGCAUCAGCCAUGGCGCGGUGAAUACGUUCCCGGGCCUUGUACUCACCGCCCGUCA